rnacentral:lncRNA from 1 species
CUUUGAUGUAUGGUGUGAAUGCCUCGAGUUUAUUCAAACUUCAACGUGUUCAGAACACAGCUGCCAGACUAGUGACCCGCCAAAAGAAGUUUGAACAUAGAACUCCAACACUUAUGACUCUUCAUUGGCUACCAUUUAAAUUCCGAUGCCAGUACAAACUGUUGCUUUACGCAUUCAAAGCAUUGCAUGGACUUUCACCUUCGUAACUUAGUGAACUAAUACAGUUUUACAAACCAGCACGAUCGUUGCGAUCUGAAAAUG